rnacentral:rRNA from 1 species
CCCUUAGAUGUUCUGGGCUGCACGCGUGCUACACUGAUUACUUCAACAAGUGUUUUAACUGGAGAGUUCGCGUAAUCCUGAAAUGUUAUCGUGAUGGGAGUAGAGUAUUGUAUUUGUUAAUCUUUAACGAGGACUUCCUAGUAAGUGUAGGUUUAUUUGUUUUUUUUUUUACGUCCCUGCCCUUUGUACACACCGCCCGUCGCUCCUACCGAUUGAUUGAUCCGGUGAAUUACAUAGAAUUUUGCGUUUUACAUGACGGAAGAUGAAGUGUUUUAAGCCUUAUCAUUUAGAGGAAGGAGAAGUCGUGACA